rnacentral:rRNA from 1 species
AGAGUUUGAUCCUGGCUCAGAACGAACGCUGGCGGCGUGGAUAAGACAUGCAAGUCGGACGGGAACUUUCGUUGUAGCAAUACGAUGGAAGUUUCAGUGGCGAUCGGGUGCGUAACACGUGGGCAAUCUGCCUUAAAGUGUGGGAUAGCUCGGCGAAAGCCGAAUUAAUACCGCAUGUGGCUACUGGAGACAUCUUCGGGACGCUAAAGGUGGCGCAAGCUACCGCUUUUUGAGGAGCCCGCGGCCUAUCAGCUUGUUGGUGAGGUAACGGCUCACCAAGGCGUUGACGGGUAGCUGGUCUGAGAGGACGACCAGCCACACUGGGACUGAGACACGGCCCAGACACCUACGGGUGGCAGCAGUCGAGAAUUUUUGACAAUGGGGGAAACCCUGAUCGAGCGACGCCGCGUGGAGGAUGAAGGUCUUCGGGUUGUAAACUCCUGUCAUUUGGGAACAAGGCGUACGUAUUAACUGUGCGUGCGUUGAUAGUACCAGAAGAGGAAGAGACGGCUAACUCUGUGCCAGCAGCCGCGGUAAUACAGAGGUCUCAAGCGUUGUUCGGAUUCAUUGGGCGUAAAGGGUGUGUAGGUGGCGCGCUAAGUCGGGUGUGAAAUUUCGGAGCUUAACUCCGAAACUGCAUUCGAUACUGGCGUGCUUGAGGACUGGAGAGGAGACUGGAAUUUACGGUGUAGCAGUGAAAUGCGUAGAUAUCGUAAGGAAGACCAGUGGCGAAGGCGGGUCUCUGGACAGUUCCUGACACUGAGACACGAAAGCCAGGGGAGCAAACGGGAUUAGAUACCCCGGUAGUCCUGGCAGUAAACGGUGCACGUUUGGUGUGGGAGGAUUCGACCCCUUCUGCGCCGGAGCCAACGCGUUAAACGUGCCGCCUGGGGAGUACGGUCGCAGAUUAAAACUCAAAGAAAUUGACGGGGCCCGCACAAGCGGUGGAGUAUGGUGGCUCAAUUCGAUGC